rnacentral:piRNA from 1 species
UCUUUAUCGUCUUGCUCAAAU